rnacentral:rRNA from 1 species
ACUAAGCGUACACGGUGGAUGCCCUGGCAGUCAGAGGCGAUGAAGGGCGUGCUAAUCUGCGAUAAGCGCCGGUAAGGUGAUAUGAACCGUUAUAACCGGCGAUACCCGAAUGGGGAAACCCAGUGUGAUUCGUCACACUAUCAUUAACUGAAUCCAUAGGUUAAUGAGGCGAACCGGGGGAACUGAAACAUCUAAGUACCCCGAGGAAAAGAAAUCAACCGAGAUUCCCCCAGUAGCGGCGAGCGAACGGGGAGGAGCCCAGAGCCUGAAUCAGCAUGUGUGUUAGUGGAAGCGUCUGGAAAGGUGCGCGAUACAGGGUGACAGCCCCGUACACAAAAGCGCAUGUGCUGUGAGCUCGAUGAGUAGGGCGGGACACGUGGUAUCCUGUCUGAAUAUGGGGGGACCAUCCUCCAAGGCUAAAUACUCCUGACUGACCGAUAGUGAACCAGUACCGUGAGGGAAAGGCGAAAAGAACCCCGGCGAGGGGAGUGAAAAAGAACCUGAAACCGUGUACGUACAAGCAGUGGGAGCACCCUUCGGGGUGUGACUGCGUACCUUUUGUAUAAUGGGUCAGCGACUUAUAUUCUGUAGCAAGGUUAACCGUAUAGGGGAGCCGGAGGGAAACCGAGUCUUAACCGGGCGUUAAGUUGCAGGGUAUAGACCCGAAACCCGGUGAUCUAGCCAUGGGCAGGUUGAAGGUUGGGUAACACUAACUGGAGGACCGAACCGACUAAUGUUGAAAAAUUAGCGGAUGACCUGUGGCUGGGGGUGAAAGGCCAAUCAAACCGGGAGAUAGCUGGUUCUCCCCGAAAGCUAUUUAGGUAGCGCCUCGUGAAUUCAUCUCCGGGGGUAGAGCACUGUUUCGGCUAGGGGGCCAUCCCGGCUUACCAACCCGAUGCAAACUGCGAAUACCGGAGAAUGUUAUCACGGGAGACACACGGCGGGUGCUAACGUCCGUCGUGAAGAGGGAAACAACCCAGACCGCCAGCUAAGGUCCCAAAGUCAUGGUUAAGUGGGAAACGAUGUGGGAAGGCCCAGACAGCCAGGAUGUUGGCUUAGAAGCAGCCAUCAUUUAAAGAAAGCGUAAUAGCUCACUGGUCGAGUCGGCCUGCGCGGAAGAUGUAACGGGGCUAAACCAUGCACCGAAGCUGCGGCAGCGAACGUAUCACCCAAGACAACUUUACGGAGUUGACGAUUGACGGAGCGAAGCGACGUCAAAGCGUUCAUUAAAGUCGAGUUGGCUUAGGGAUACGUUCGUUGGGUAGGGGAGCGUUCUGUAAGCCUGUGAAGGUGUGUCGUGAGGCAUGCUGGAGGUAUCAGAAGUGCGAAUGCUGACAUAAGUAACGAUAAAGCGGGUGAAAAGCCCGCUCGCCGGAAGACCAAGGGUUCCUGUCCAACGUUAAUCGGGGCAGGGUGAGUCGACCCCUAAGGCGAGGCCGAAAGGCGUAGUCGAUGGGAAACGGGUUAAUAUUCCCGUACUUGGUGUUACUGCGAAGGGGGGACGGAGAAGGCUAUGUUGGCCGGGCGACGGUUGUCCCGGUUUAAGCGUGUAGGUGUGUGUUCCAGGUAAAUCCGGUUCACUUUAACACUGAGGCGUGACGACGAGGCACUACGGUGCUGAAGCAACAAAUGCCCUGCUUCCAGGAAAAGCCUCUAAGCAUCAGGUAACACGAAAUCGUACCCCAAACCGACACAGGUGGUCAGGUAGAGAAUACCAAGGCGCUUGAGAGAACUCGGGUGAAGGAACUAGGCAAAAUGGUGCCGUAACUUCGGGAGAAGGCACGCUGACACGUAGGUGAAGUGAUUUACUCAUGGAGCUGAAGUCAGUCGAAGAUACCAGCUGGCUGCAACUGUUUAUUAAAAACACAGCACUGUGCAAACACGAAAGUGGACGUAUACGGUGUGACGCCUGCCCGGUGCCGGAAGGUUAAUUGAUGGGGUCAGCGCAAGCGAAGCUCCUGAUCGAAGCCCCGGUAAACGGCGGCCGUAACUAUAACGGUCCUAAGGUAGCGAAAUUCCUUGUCGGGUAAGUUCCGACCUGCACGAAUGGCGUAAUGAUGGCCAGGCUGUCUCCACCCGAGACUCAGUGAAAUUGAACUCGCUGUGAAGAUGCAGUGUACCCGCGGCAAGACGGAAAGACCCCGUGAACCUUUACUAUAGCUUGACACUGAACAUUGAGCCUUGAUGUGUAGGAUAGGUGGGAGGCUUUGAAGUGUGGACGCCAGUCUGCAUGGAGCCGACCUUGAAAUACCACCCUUUAAUGUUUGAUGUUCUAACGUGGACCCGUAAUCCGGGUUGCGGACAGUGUCUGGUGGGUAGUUUGACUGGGGCGGUCUCCUCCUAAAGAGUAACGGAGGAGCACGAAGGUUGGCUAAUCCUGGUCGGACAUCAGGAGGUUAGUGCAAUGGCAUAAGCCAGCUUGACUGCGAGCGUGACGGCGCGAGCAGGUGCGAAAGCAGGUCAUAGUGAUCCGGUGGUUCUGAAUGGAAGGGCCAUCGCUCAACGGAUAAAAGGUACUCCGGGGAUAACAGGCUGAUACCGCCCAAGAGUUCAUAUCGACGGCGGUGUUUGGCACCUCGAUGUCGGCUCAUCACAUCCUGGGGCUGAAGUAGGUCCCAAGGGUAUGGCUGUUCGCCAUUUAAAGUGGUACGCGAGCUGGGUUUAGAACGUCGUGAGACAGUUCGGUCCCUAUCUGCCGUGGGCGCUGGAGAACUGAGGGGGGCUGCUCCUAGUACGAGAGGACCGGAGUGGACGCAUCACUGGUGUUCGGGUUGUCAUGCCAAUGGCACUGCCCGGUAGCUAAAUGCGGAAGAGAUAAGUGCUGAAAGCAUCUAAGCACGAAACUUGCCCCGAGAUGAGUUCUCCCUGAGACUUAGAGUCUCCUGAAGGAACGUUGAAGACGACGACGUUGAUAGGCCGGGUGUGUAAGCGCAGCGAUGCGUUGAGCUAACCGGUACUAAUGAACCGUGAGGCUUAACC